GGCCAACAUCGAUUUUGGUCGGCGGAUAAAGGCUUAGAGAAUGUGGCCCUCUUCGGGGGGUGUUAUAGCUCUAGGUGCAAUGUAGCCUACUUGGACUGAGGACCGCGCUUCGGCUAGGAUGCUGGCGUAAUGGUUGUAAGCGA
rnacentral:rRNA from 1 species